ACAUAUCUUACAAUUGAAUCACUGCUGUCCAGCUGAAACUAACACAAUAGUGUAAAUCAACUACAUUUCAGUUGGAAAAAAAAAAAAGACUAAGUUAAGAGCUUCCACAAAUUAUUCAGCAGAAAACAAAUUCCAACCAGACAUCCAAAACCAAGCUCCUCCGCCCCACAAAGAAGCAGCCACAGCAGCAAACACCACGGCUCCCAGGAACAGGCCACAGAGCCAGCAGCACAUUGACUCGGGAAAGGGGGCCAGAAGAGGGGUCAACUGAGCUGCCCUUGGAAAGAGGGACAGUAUUUCAAGCAAGAAACGGAGCCGUCUUACAGGCCCUUCCAUGCUGUUUGCCUUUUUGCUAGUCAAGUGUUGUUCGUGGUUACCUACUGCACAUGACGAAGCAAGCUACGAAGAGCCACACGAGUUCUGCCACCCACCCAGCUCACCCUCAAUUCUCCUCGGCUGCUGGGGAAACAGCUGCGUGACUUGCCCAAGCUCCCAGAGCUGGUCACCACUGCACCAGGACCGGCCAGCGCUCCAAUGCCCA